GUUAGCUCAGUUGGUAGAGCAUCUGACUCUUAAUCAGGCGGCCGUAGGUUCGAAUCCUACAC
rnacentral:tRNA from 1 species